rnacentral:rRNA from 1 species
UACGAACCGUCCAAACGUUAUUCGGAAUCACUGGGCUUAAAGGGUGCGUAGGCGGCCUGUUAAGUUGGGUGUGAAAUACCUCGGCUCAACCGAGGAAUUGCGCUCAAAACUAGCAGGCUUGAGGGAGACAGAGGUAAGCGGAACUUAGGGUGGAGCGGUGAAAUGCGUUGAUAUCCUAAGGAACACCGGUGGCGAAAGCGGCUUACUGGGUCUCUUCUGACGCUGAGGCACGAAAGCCAGGGGAGCGAAC